GUGCCCCAAAACUCAAUACCGUGAGCCGUGCCUCGACCUCUUCAUCUAGAAGGUAACUGACUUGAAUUAUCUAAUUAGUAUCCAAAUACAAUAACAAGAUAAGAUAGUACAAUGAUUUUAAUUUUACAUAAGUAGAAUAAAUAAUUUUACCUGCAACAUCUGAUGAUUGUGGUUAAGAUAAUGUGGUCUCUGAUUGCUGUCUAUGUGGCUAAGUAUUAUGUGCUGAAAGUGAUUGUUGUUGUGACUUAUCAUAAUUGGACUAAGAUGAUGAAUAAAUCUGUAAUCUAUCCAACGUGGAUACACCACGUGUCCUCUUUGGAGCCA
rnacentral:lncRNA from 1 species